rnacentral:lncRNA from 1 species
AUCUUAGAGAGGAGACUCAGGGCACCUUCCUCAAAGGCUAGUGGGAGGUUGCUGAAGGCACCUAAAGUCCUUACAACCUGAAACCACAAUUUAGAAAACUUUUUAAAAAAUUUUUAUCCUGAAAGGCUUUCUUCAAAAGCUAUCCUAUGCUUAAGUCCAAUCUAGAAGACAAGCCUGAAGGUGGUUGAAGGUAGGAGUGAAGGUAGCCCAAGGUCCCAGAGCUCUCGGAAUACAUUUGGAGGCCACUUACCCACUUAUCUAGUACUUAAUAGGGAGAUACAGAGGGUGCUAUGGUGCCAACGUCUCGGGCUUUGCUUUCCAAGCCAUAGGUGGGCUUCCAGCUGACUUGCUCCCAGGGGUUAACCUGGGGGACUGCUAUCAGGUCCCAGCCCUGCUGCAUGCCUGAGACUCUACGGGCAGGGCCAUCCGAGUGGGUCCCACCUGUCCACCUCCUCUCUGACCAGGCCCCAGCAGUCAUGACCUGGCACUGCCAAAAUAGGAAUCUCAUGUUCACCAUCUCAUAUUUAGUGAGCCUUGUUCUUCAAAGACACGGAUCCUAAGGUUAAAACCUGCAGUAACCUUCCCUUUUUUCUUGCCCCUAUGAAAGACAUUGUCUAAUUUUCUACAGCAACAGCUGCCGCAGAGCAUUGCACCUCAGAGCCUCGCGCGGAUCAACGGCAAACCACUCAUCUCGUGCGAGGGCGGGGGGCGCCCACUUUGCCUAGCAGCUUGGCUCAGAUCAAACCGACGUCUUCAUGGAUGUCAGGGAUCCCACCUGCCAGGUUCUGGCCAAGGCAUUGUUGGACGGGACGAUGGGCAUCAGCAUGGACACGGCUGGCUGCUGGUGAUCUGAGUUGCCGCUGGCCGACGGGCUGCACUGGAGGGACAGUGGCCAGCCAGGGGCAAAACAAGCAUCUUUCUGUGGGGAUGAGUCCGCAGAAAACUCCCAACCCUCAGCCAGCGGUUGGGUCAGGCAGCAGCCAGCGGCAAAGUCUCCAGAAAAGAUCAGAGAAAGAGAAGACGGCUUACAAUCUCGGAGCUCCAGGUCCUGCCAGUGAAUCCUCAGCGGCCAUGCAGGCAGGAAUCCAGCAGGCCUGGCCCCGACCUGGCCCCGCACCUCCUUAUCUGAAGCUGGUAUCUUAGGCAGCCCUCAUGGUGAAGUCUGUAUUGAAUUUUGCUGAGCAUUUUAAAUAAAAUUCAGUGACUUCCUCCAAAUUUCUUAGAGUCUGAAAUGUAGUUCACUAUGUCCUCUAAGCACAAACAGAAGAAAAUCCUACCAUAUUAGGUAUGAAAUUCAGAACAAUGACUAUUGAAAGUGAGAGGUUUCAGCAUUGGAGUGGAUCCUAACGGAAAUACUCUAAAAAGGGGAACAUCCUGGUUACCUGGACAUUUGAGUAAGGACUACCCAUCAGCUCUCUGAUAUUUAGGCUCCAACAGGCAAAUGAAGGAUUCCCCAAAACCAAUGUGGAAGUCAGAGGAGAUAUGUCUUCAAUUGCCUAGAAAGUUUUAUUGACUCUUCAGGAGGCAUCCAUGCCUUCAUAAAAACAAAUCCUCCCAUUGAAUCACUGUCAAGCGCCUCAGCAGGUGCUGGCUUGCUGGUGAGGUAAUUAUUCCUUGGGAUUUAUGAUUUGCCAAGCACAGCACAGAGGCUUCCUUCAGAGGGGCAUGGCUGUGCCAAGACCUCAUACCCGCUAACCCCUCAAUUUUGGAUUCCUAGCCUCCAGAACUGUGAGAGAAUAGAGCUCUGCUAUUUUACACCACUCAAUUUAUGGUACUCUGUUAUGUUUUCACUAGGAAACAAAUACACCUCUCCAAAUCUUUGACUCUUGAAAAUAUACCUUAAUCAAGGAAAUGAGAGGGGCAAUAUUAUAGGGACAGCCUUGAAUUCACUCUAAAAACAAAAUUAUUUCCCAAAUCUCAUGAUUUGAAAUGGAAUUUGUAAACAACUCACAGCACAUUUCCCAAUGAAGCACAUACAUCCAAGCAAUCUACUGCCAGACCCAGGAAGUGUUAAUCCCACUGGUUACUUUCACUUUACUAAGAAAAUGGAGAGCCAAGAGGCCAAAUGGCUCCCCAAAGUGACAGAGAAGCUUCCCUGUGUGUUCUUCCUCAUGCCUGGCCCACUUUGUUCUAGCCAACUCCUUUGAGCACAGGUAAAGAAAGACCACAUGAAGAAUGCAAAAGACACUUGAUCAUUGCUUAUAUCAGUCCCCAAAUGUCACCCUCUGACUCCAGUUUAAAUCAUUUCUCGCAGGAUAGGUGAAGGUUGAAGCUUCCAUAAGCAAUUCUGCUCAUAACUCUGCCUUUGAAGGCUGAUAAAGUGAUUCAUUUAGGCUGCUGUACAAACUGAGUAACUAUUCAGCGUGCUAGAAUUGGGAUGUGACACAAUAUCUGUGUCAGGGCAUAGAUCUUGGGCAGGGGAGGGAGAGCACCAGAAUGCUAUUGCUGUGAAAAGACUCAGACUGAUUAUUAAACCCUCCUUGAAUAGGAAAAUCAAGAUCUUGAUGGGUCAUCAAGAAGGCUACAAUAUAACUUUGAAGUGUGUAGUUUCUCUGAACCUCAAACAAAACUCUUAUGCAAUCUUCAAAGACAGCCAAGAUAAAAUGUCAAAAACUGGAACAUGAAGAAUUUAUAAGUGUAAUUAGCUAAUAUCUUUAGCCUGAACAGAUGUCCUUCUGGUUAAGAUGACCUUCCAACAAGAGGAGUUUGCUGGCCUAGAUUUUUCAGCAUAAUAAUCUCAUUUGUUUGCUAUCUGCCUGCUAAUUUAGUUUUCAUUCAUGUUCCUGAAAGUAAUAAAUCUAAUACAUUUUAGACAAAAAUCAACAAAGUUACAUGAAAAAAAGAAACUCAUCUGCCAAUGAAAAGCUCCUAUCUACUUGUAUUAGAAUGUGGAGACUAGCACAAAUAAGCUUUGAAACAGCACCUCAAAGGGGACCCAAAUUAUUCACAAGUGAACAAGUACUGGAGUUUGAGACUAAAAACCUGAGCUAUAACAGGAUAAGCUCAUUGAGACAGACACUAGAAGAGGAAAUAGGGAGCUGUGCUGGGAGAUGACCAAGACGAGCAAAGCCAGCAGAUCAGAAUUCUAUUCUCAACAACCACUGCAGUAUCUAUAUGAAAGAAAAAUGAAAAAUAGGAAGGCUAGGAGCCAGGCAGAAAGAAGAUCAGGAACAGAAUUGAGAGGAAGCAAGGAGAGUAUAGACAAUAGCUUUUAAUGAAAUAAACUCUUAAUGUGCUGAACUGGAUUAAAGCUGUGACAGGUAUUUUUCUUUUUCCUCUUUUUUUUUGUU